rnacentral:rRNA from 1 species
GAAACACGGACCAAGGAGUCUAGCAUGUGCGCGAGUCAUUGGGACUCUGACUAAACCUAAAGGCGCAAUGAAAGUAAAGGUCCGCCUCGCGCGGACCGAGGGAGGAUGGGUCGGCCCUCGGGUCGGCCCCGCACUCCCGGGGCGUCUCGUUCUCAUCGCGAGAAGAGGCGCACCCAGAGCGUACACGCUGGGACCCGAAAGAUGGUGAACUAUGCCUGGUCAGGACGAAGUCAGGGGAAACCCUGAUGGAGGUCCGUAGCGAUUCUGACGUGCAAAUCGAUCGUCGGAACUGGGUAUAGGGGCGAAAGACUAAUCGAACCAUCUAGUAGCUGG